CGUUCCCAUCCCGAACACGGAAGUUAAGCUUUUCAGCGCCGAUGGUAGUAGGGGGCUUCCCCCUGUGAGAGUAGGUCAUCGCCGGGC
rnacentral:rRNA from 1 species